GUUCAGUUUAAUUAUUCCAAAAAAUUAAUAGAAUUGAUUGGAAAUUGGGAAAUUAAUAGAAUUAAUUCGAAAUUCAAAGCCAUUUGGCACUGAAUGCUCAUGUUUAUCAAAAAUUCAUAGAAGUUCGUAUUUUUCUAGCGCUAAAAAAUCAGAAAUUUCAUUAUUUAUUGCCUUAAAUUAAUUCCAAAGUCACUCCUAAAAAUUACUAGUCAACUGUCCAUGAAAUUUAAAUUUUUUUCAACUGUUUUUAUGAUCAUUAAUUUCAAAUUUCAUAAUACACAACAAGCAGAGAAAUGUAGAUUAUUUCUAGACACUUAAUCUGUCAUAAUAAAUAAAUAAUACGUCAAUCCCCUAGAACAAUAUUGUUAAUCUUAUUAUGAACAUUCAACCAGAAAUUCCGGAUAACGAAGCCCAUGAGGAAAACAAUGCAUUAUUCAAACACAGACUGAUACGAAGUAAACAGGCAAAUGAAUACAUACCAGGAUUCAUUAUAAAUCCCGGGAUUUUAAAAUAAAUUCGUAGUUGCUGAAGUCACUCUAGGGAAAAUAUAAUGAAGCCAACACACUUCGUUAUUCUGCGAUUAAUUAUACUCGCAACGCUGUGGUUACGAGCUGAAGCCGUACAAUGCACUUAUGAAUCGCGGCGACUGCCUCCAGGAACGCAUGUUGUCAACUGUGUUAGGGUAACGUGCAAUGCAGAUGGAACUGUGACUACAGAUAUCUGUCCAGUUUACGCAGUCAGAUGUGCCCCAGGAUAUCAUUCAGUUUGGCGUGAGCAAGACAAUAGCAAACCUUUUCCUGAAUGUUGUCGGAUGCCCUCAUGCAUUCCGGACUGAAUGGAUUCUCACUUUCAAAAUAUUUGUAUUGACACCACAUGAUUAAAGAGUGUAACUUCGUGAA